rnacentral:rRNA from 1 species
GAUGAACGCUGGCGGCGUGCCUAAUACAUGCAAGUCGAGCGAACAGACGAGGCGCUUGCUCCUCUGACGUUAGCGGCGGACGGGUGAGUAACACGUGGAUAACCUACCUAUAAGACUGGGAUAACUUCGGGAAACCGGAGCUAAUACCGGAUAAUAUAUUGAACCGCAUGGUUCAAUAGUAAAAGACGGUUUUGCUGUCACUUAUAGAUGGAUCCGCGCCGCAUUAGCUAGUUGGUAAGGUAACGGCUUACCAAGGCAACGAUGCGUAGCCGACCUGAGAGGGUGAUCGGCCACACUGGAACUGAGACACGGUCCAGACUCCUACGGGAGGCAGCAGUAGGGAAUCUUCCGCAAUGGGCGAAAGCCUGACGGAGCAACGCCGCGUGAGUGAUGAAGGUCUUCGGAUCGUAAAACUCUGUUAUUAGGGAAGAACAAAUGUGUAAGUAACUAUGCACGUCUUGACGGUACCUAAUCAGAAAGCCACGGCUAACUACGUG